UUUCAUGUUGCCGCAACACCGCAAUAACCAUUGCAGUUGCAGCCAGUGAAAGUGUCUGUCUGUCUGUCUGCCUGUCGGUCUAUUUAUAAGGCAGCCAAAUGUCAUGUGAAGUGCUGUUAAGAUAAACAUUAUCACAUUGAAGGUGCCAAGGAUUAUUAAUAAUCCAUGAUAGUAAAUCCAGGCAGACAACUUAUCAACUCAUCUUUCCGCAGCCUGAGCAAUUCGUCGCAAAACCGGAGUGGUUCCCUUUCCACAGCCAUAUCGGCCAGAUUGCACUGCACUUCGUCCUCUGAAACGGAUUCGAGGGUUACAUCCAGGCCAAGAAAAGUGGAGCCCUUGGAAAUGUCGACACUUUCCGACAGCUCGUGACAGAUUCAAAUUAGUUUAGACCCGAUUUUCCCACUUGCGAUGCGAUUUUGUGGACCGAAGAGUGGAGAAUGGAUGCCAUAACCAUGUGCCACCCAAG